GAUGAACGCUGGCGGCGUGCCUAAUACAUGCAAGUCGAACGCUUCUUUCCUCCCGAGUGCUUGCACUCAAUUGGAAAGAGGAGUGGCGGACGGGUGAGUAACACGUGGGUAACCUACCCAUCAGAGGGGGAUAACACUUGGAAACAGGUGCUAAUACCGCAUAACAGUUUAUGCCGCAUGGCAUAAGAGUGAAAGGCGCUUUCGGGUGUCGUUGAUGGAUGGACCCGCGGUGCAUUAGCUAGUUGGUGAGGUAACGGCUCACCAAGGCCACGAUGCAUAGCCGACCUGAGAGGGUGAUCGGCCACACUGGGACUGAGACACGGCCCAGACUCCUACGGGAGGCAGCAGUAGGGAAUCUUCGGCAAUGGACGAAAGUCUGACCGAGUAACGCCGCGUGAGUGAAGAAGGUUUUCGGAUCGUAAAACUCUGUUGUUAGAGAAGAACAAGGACGUUAGUAACUGAACGUCCCCUGACGGUAUCUAACCAGAAAGCCACGGCUAACUACGUG
rnacentral:rRNA from 1 species